rnacentral:tRNA from 1 species
UGCGAGGUAGAGCAGUUUGGUAGCUCGCAAGGCUCAUAACCUUGAGGUCACGGGUUCAAAUCCUGUCUUCGCAA